rnacentral:rRNA from 1 species
GACGAACGCUGGCGGCGCGCCUCAUACAUGCAAGUCGAACGUGAAGCCCGGAGCUUGCUCCGGGUGGAAAGUGGCGAACGGGUGAGGAACACGUGAGGAACCUGCCCCGAAGACUGGGAUAACACCGGGAAACCGGUGCUAAUACCGGAUGCCCUCACCGGAUCUCAUGUUCCGGUGAGGAAAUGGAUUCCGCUUCGGGAUGGCCUCGCGGCCUAUCAGCUUGUUGGUGGGGUAACGGCCCACCAAGGCUUCGACGGGUAGCUGGUCUGAGAGGAUGUCCAGCCACACUGGGACUGAGACACGGCCCAGACUCCUACGGGAGGCAGCAGUAGGGAAUCUUGCGCAAUGAGCGAAAGCUUGACGCAGCGACGCCGCGUGCGGGAUGAAGGCCCUCGGGUCGUAAACCGCUUUCAGCAGGGACGAAAUUGACGGUACCUGCAGAAGAAGGCCCGGCCAACUACGUGCCAGCAGCCGCGGUAAUACGUAGGGGCCAAGCGUUGUCCGGAUUUAGUU